rnacentral:lncRNA from 1 species
GAAGAUAUGGUUCACCUAACCCCACCACCUAAUGUUGUGAGUUGAUGGGAGUGAGGUUGACACAAUAAGGUCUUCCCUUCCUUUGGCAGAGGCAUGGUCUUACUUCCUACCCCUUCAUUAUGUACACUCUACCAUUUUAUAUAAAAUAUGGGGGCAGCUCUCGUUUUUAAUUCCCAGCAGCAGCAGCAGAAAGAGGAGCUCUCGGUCUCUUUCAUUCCAGCAGAAAGGUGGAGCUCUCGUUUUAGCAAAAGGGUGGUGGUUCUUCAUUGGUUUUCCCCUCUCUCUUUGGAAGGCAAUUGGCAUAGCAUGGAGGUUGUUCCUGAGCCUGAAAAAACACCCAUAAAAGGAAGAAGAAGCUGCUGAAACGAAGAAGAAGAAGCUGGACAGAUUUCUGAACAAAAAGGGUUGUAUUUUUCCAUUCCCGUUUUUCUUUGUUUUUGCCUUGAAUCUGGUUUUGUUGAUUGUUUGUUUUGGUUGAUUGAACUCCUAGGAUCCCCAACAAGGUGCAACUGAACCAGGCCAUACUGGGGCGGAGUAUGUCGGAGCCGAGUAUUCUACGGCAGCAAGAGGCACGACAGGCGGUGGCAAAGCCAGUGCAGCAGUGGCGCCGCCGGGGGACUGAUUUACUAAAGAAGUUGCUGAAACCAAUUCUGGGGAAAAAGAGUGCCAAAAAUGAUGACAGGACAGAUUGAAAGAUUUGGAAAACAUUGAGCAGAUCCUUGAGGCUUUGAAUUUUGAAAUAUUAAAUAAUAAUUUUGUUUACAUUUAUCUGUUGCAAUUUAUAUGCGUACAAACAGAAGGAACUUGGAUUACUAAGAUUAUUGACUUCACUUUCUUUUCAUAAUUUUCCUUCUCAUUCAAUUUAACUUCUUUGAAAUCAUCUUUGAUGAUGCUCGUGUUGUUAAUUCGAAACUUGGAUGAUUAGUGCCAAUUAUGAAUUAUACAACAAGAAGAUGGGUUUCAAAAUUUUCUAUUGAGAGGUAAGCAUAAGAGGUAAUGGACGGUUGAAAUCUCAAAUAAGGUGGUUAUAAGAUAUAACAAGUGGUCAGGACAAUUCAAUGGCUGUAUGAAGUUUUUUUAAUGGGUUUUGGUCUAGGGUUUAUAUAAAUGGUAACAUUUGUGACAUCUAAUAAAACUUGUGGUCUACAAAUUAAAAGUCACAUGCUACACAUUUUAUGAGCCAGUGUCACAUAUUAAGACACAAAUCACGUAAAGUCACAAUCACAUACCACACAAUUUAUAAGUUACAAUCAUAUAUUAAGUCAAAAAUCAAAUAAUUAAUAGGUUAUAAUUUAUUUAUUAAUCACAAAUCAUACAAUUAAUUGGUCACAGUCAAAGUACCGAGAAGAUCCAAAGAGAUUUAAACUUUUUCAUUCUCCCUUGUCGAAAGACACUGGUCGGAUGAGGAGAAGAGUAAAGACAAAGAUUGCACAAGUCCUAUUUGAAUAUGAAUAUUAGUAAGACAAAGGACGUGUUUUGUUAAGCUUAAAAUAUGGGUAAUUACUAAUUAGCACUUGGUUUUUGAAAAAACCUAAAAUAAAUAAUAAUAACUAGUUCCUAAAUUUUUUUGAACGGAUGAUUGUUGCCAAGCUACCAAACAUUUCAUUUAGUGAUUUUUAAGAAAAAUGUGCAGUGAAAAAGUAGAGAAAAAUUUUGAGUUUACGACUUUACAUGCAAAAUAUUUAAUUGUAUCAAUGUGUGAAUGAAAAUGAAUACGUUAAAAAUUGUUUUCAAAUAAUUGUUGUCAAACGGGCUAAAUUGUACUAUGAAAAAAUGAGAAUAAAUUUCCCUUUCAUGCAUACACAAAUUAUUUAUCGACGGUAAAACAUGGAUGGCGAAGGAUAGGGUCCAUAGGGAAUUACAUUUUGGCAAGGAGUCCCCCGAAAUCUGCAAUUCACAACCAAUUUACCUUGUAGAAAGAUUCAAAACAUAUCUCAUAUGAUAAUUGACAGUAAUUUUUUAUUUUUUUAAGAUAGUUAGAAUCGAAAAUACUGUAUUUAAUUCAGACUUUUAUCGACUUAUUUCAAGUGACGAAUUUUCGUGGAAUUCGUGAAUUUUGUUGACUCAUAAAUUUAUUGCGAAUUAAUGAAAUGUCCACUAGCCAAUUUUUUCCCACUUGUUUUGACUUUUUUUGGGUUGGCACUAUUUAUGAGAUAAUGAGAAAAUCAAUGCUGAUUAGUUUUUUUCUAAUAAAAUUACGAAAGCUUGAAAAUAAUGGAUAUAAAUUAUAAGAAUAAUGUUACUUUUAUAUAAAAAGUUACAUAAUGAUUUAAAUACAAAUGAUGUGUCAAAAAAGAGAUUGAAGAAGGUUUUGUUUUUAAUUAUGUGAUUGAAAAUUUUUUGACACAAUCAUAUCACACAACAUUAUGUAUAUGUAAAUCAUUAUAUAAAUCAUUAUGUACAUAUAAAACAAUCGAAAUUAUAAAGACACAAAAUUUUAGGUAAUAAGUAAACAAUUAUCUGAAUUAUAAUUUUUAUUUUUUUUUGUUGAGCAUUGAUUUUUUAUAUAGUUUGAAAAUUAAAUUUUUCAAAUAUUUAAAAAAUCAAACUUGGAAUGAAAUUAAUAAUUCAACAACCAAUCCAAGGAUUUUUUUUUUUUUUAAUCCUUCCCAAGAAAUUGCAUUUUAUAAAAUGAAAUUGCUAACUUAACUUUUUUUUCAUCGUUCCCAAGAAAUUGCUUUUUAUGCAGGGACAUAAGCAAUGAAAUUGCUUUUUAUCUAAAGAAGUUUUUCUUUUUUAUUUGGUUGAAGAAAUUUCAACCCAAUCAUAUCACAUUACAUUAUGUUUAUAUAAACCAUUAUAUAAAUCAUUAUAUACAUGUAGAACAUUGAAAUUAUAAAGAUAUGAAAUUUUGGGUAAUAAUAAGUAACCGAUUAUCUGAAUUAUAAUUUUUUUUGGGUUGAAUGCAUUAAUUUUAUGAAGUUCGAAAAUUAAAUUUAUUUCAAAUAUCUAAAGAAUCAAACUUGGAUGAAAUUAAUAAUUCAACAACCUAAUAAUAAGUAACCAAUUAUCUAAAUUAUAUAUAUAUACAAAAAUUCUGAGUGUACAGAAUUUUAAGUUUACAGAAUGUGUACAGAGUGUCACAAACGAUGGACCCCACAUGAAUAUUUUAUUGCAAAAAAAAAUCACCCAACCCCUUGAUGUGUGUAUUCUGUACAACAUCUGUACACUUAAAUUUCUGUACUUGUAGACUAACUCAUAUAUAUAUAUAUUUGGUUGAAUGCAUUGAUUUUAUGAAGUUCGAAAAUUAAAUUUAUUUCAAAUAUCUAAAGAAUCAAACUUGAAAUGAAAUUAAUAAUUCAACAACCUAAUAAUAAGUAACUGAUUAUCUGAAUUAUAAUUUCUUUUUUUUUUAGUUGAAUGCAUUAAUUUUAUGAAGUUCGAAAAUUAAUUUAUUUCAAAUAUCUAAAGAAUCAAACUUGGAAUGAAAUUAAUAAUUCAACCACCAAUCCAAGGAUUUUUUUUAUACUUCCCAAGAAAUUGUUUUUUAUCUCUGUCAUAAAUUCAUUGCAUUUAUUAUUUGCAGCCUUAUAUAUAUUGAUGCAAUUAGAGAUGAAGAAUUUGGUUGCAGAAAUGGGAGGAGUGGAAGAUAUGGCAGUAAUAUUGAAAAGGUUUGGAGAUGAACAAAGCACAUUAUUGGACCGGUAUGAGAGGCUCUCCUUUGAGGUGCAACUGAACCAGGCCAUACUGGGGCGGAGUAUGUCGG